GAUUUUUAAAUGUCUGAUCUCAAAUAUUCACCUUCAUGAAGCAUCUACUAACCUUUUCCAAAUCAGCACAAUCUCUUCCUUCUUUGAGCUCUGUAUAAGUUAUUAUUUAAAGAGCUUAUAAGUUAAUAUUAAAUUUUGCUAUGUUUCAUAGUGUUAUAUCCAAUCAGGACUCAUCUCGGGAAAUAUAAAUUAAGACAGAGACAUUUGGCAGAAUUUCAAGAGACUGGCCACAUGGAAUUCUUUUUGUUUUUUUGAGACGGAGUCUCGCUCUGUCACCCAGGCUGGAGUGCAGUGGCGCGAUCUCGGCUCACAGCAAGCUCCGCCUCCUGGGUUCACACCAUUCUCCUGCCUCAGCCUCACGAGUAGCUGGGACUACAGGCGCCCGCCACUACGCCUGGCUAAUUUUUUGUAUUUUUAGUAGAGACGAGGUUUCACCAUGUUAGCCAGGAUGGUCUCGAUUUCCUGACUUCGCGAUCCGCCCGCCUCGGCCUCCCAAAGUGCUGAGAUUACAGGUGUGAGCCACUGCGCCCGGCCGGAAUUCUUUAUCCUAAGGAAGUCAACCCACAUGCCAGGCCAAAUAUGGCAUAGCUGAGGCAGAGAGAUGCUAAACAGCUUGCUUAAAGAAGUAGCAGAGUCAAGAUUUGAACCCAAGCAGUUGGCCUGGCUCCAAAAUCCAUGCUCUUAACUGGAUACAAGAUGGCAGUCUGCAACCCAGAAGAGGCCCCUCACCAGGAACCGACCAUGGUGGCACCUGUAUCUCAGACUUCUGGCCUCCAGAACUGUGAGAAAAAACAUUUCUGUUUAUUGAGUCACCCAUUUUAUGGUACUUUGAUAUAGUAGCCUGAAAGGACUAGGACAAGGGACUAGUAGGCACAGGAAGCUGUUACCUUCCCUGGAUAUGAAGGGAAAAGGAGAGGGUGUGGCUACUGGAAUCUGGUGAGAGCUAUAGCUAUAGGAAAAAGGCUGCCUAGCAAAAGUUGUGAACUUGGGUCAGGGAACACAGCCACUGUGGAACUGUUACCUACCUAGAGAGAGAAAGAGAAAGAGAGCUGGUGGAACAGUCACCUGGACCUCUUUCUCUUCCUGUAGUUAGGUCUCCUGGAAGAGCCUCCCAACAGACAGAGUAGAAACAGUUGAAGAGGAAUCUGGAAGGGCACAUGGAGAACAUGCAGCAGAAGGUAUAUAACAAGGUUCAUGCAUUCGUUCAACAGCAAUCGGUCACUUAAUAUGUGCAAAGCACCAGACUCUGUCAUGUGGGAGAAACAAAGAUGAAAAUGGCACUAUUCCUGUGGCAAGUGGUUAUUUACAUUUCGGAAAGGAUUCCUAAUGGAUUGCAGUGAAAGAAAAGGUUUCAGUUUUUUAAGUGUUCCUAAAAGUAUGUGCACAUGUUUAAAAUGGACUUGUAAUGGAAAGCAAUAGUUUGCUAUUGUUAUUAUUAUUAUUAUUAUUAUUAUUUUGAGACAGAGUCUUACUCUGUUGACCACACUGCAGCGCUGUGGCAGCGAUCUUGGCUCACUACAACCUCCAUCUCCUGGAUUGAAGCGAUUCUCCUGCCUCAGCCUCCCAAGUAGCUGGGACUACAGGCUGCGCCACUAUGCCCGGCUAAUUUUUUAUUUUUUGGUAGAGAUAAGGUUUCACCAUGUUGACCAGGCUGGUCUCAAACUCCUGACCUCAAGUGAUCCACUGGCUUCUGCCUCUCAAAAUGCUGGGAUUACAGGUGUGAGUGACCACGCCUGGCCUAAUUUGCUGUUCUAUCCUACUCACCACCAGUCUUUCUUCUUAGAGGUUGAAUUUGCUUAGUUCUGAUGAUAAUCUCCAAAUCUCUAAAAAUAUGCUUACACUUAAAUUUUGGUUGGGCACCUGUAGACACUAUUAACUUCCUUUCAUGGAUUUUUCUCUGGAACACAGCUUCAGAGAAAAGGCCUUCAUUUAAUAACAGCAGCAGAUCCCCCUCCUAUGUAGAUAUAGUUCUCUACCCAGUCACCCCAAUUUGAGGUCACUAUCAACUGAGAAACUGCACCCAGGCUUGCAGAGCCUCCAAUCAGCUCUUAGUAUCUCAUACUUUUGCUAAAAUUUAAUUUUAAUUUUUUCAUAGCAAUAGAUGAAUCGUUUCAAAAAUCAGUUAGUAUUACAAUGCUUAUAAUGAAAAAAACAAGUCCUUGUUCCCUGUACUAUUCCAUUUUCAUUUUCCUUUAGACAAAGGUACUAUUUUCAAAUCUGUUAGCUAUUUCUUCUAAUAUUUGUCGCUAUAUAUAUAUAUAUAUAUAUAUAUAUAUAUUUUUUUUUUUUUUUUUUUUUUUUUGGGAUGGAGUCUCACUCUGUCCCCCAGGCUGGAGUGCAGUGAUGCAAUCUUGGCUCACUGCAAGCUCCACCUCCCAGGUUCAUGCCAUUCUCCUGCCUAGGCCUCCUGAGUAGCUGGGACUACAGGUGCCUGUCACCAUGCCCAGCUAAUUUUUUGUAUUUUUAGUAGAGAUGGGGUUUCACUGUGUUAGCCACGAUGGUCUUGAUCUCCUGACCUCAUGAUCUGCCCGCCUCGGCCUCCCAAAGUGCUGGGAUUACAGGUGUGAGCCACUGUGCCCGGCCUGUCACUAUGGUUUUAAAUAUAUACUGCUAACAUUUAGAUACCUACACAUCAAAAAUAUUCAUAGCAGUAUAUAGAUAGCAUUAUGUUUACAAAAUGCUUUUGUUUUUGUUUACAAGAAUUUUCUUUACAAAAUUCUUUAUUUUGUAAAAGAAAAUAAAAUUCUUUAUUUUUCUUUUUUCUUAGCCUUUAUUUCUUCUGCCUUUUCAUUCCAAUAUCUUCACACCUCUAGCUGACAUUUCCAAACGAAAAUUCAAUACUUUAAGGAUUAACCAAUCAUAGUAGAGCAAAAGGAAUGUAUCAUAAUGCCCACAAGCAUUUAAUACUUGUACUCUGGAGAUAUACAUAAACUACAUUAACAAAUUUAUGUUGUUUGUUUUAGGAAAUUUUAAGAAACUAUUGAUUUAAAGAUAGACUUGUAUAUGAACAUUUCAUCAAAAGUUAUUUUGUUUUCAGAUUCCUAUUUAUUAGUUUAUAUGCUUUUUCGUUCUUCUCCAAUAUUGUAUUCACUCUUUUUUUGAUACAGGGUCUCACUCUGUUAUCCAGGCUAAAGUGCAGUGGUGCGAUCACAGCUCACUGCAGCCUCAACCUCCCAGGCUCAAGCCAUCCUCCCUCUUCAGCUUCCUGAGUAGCUGGAACCACAGGUGCCUGCCACCACACCAGGCUAAUUAUAUUUUUGUAGAAAUGAGGUCUCACUACAUUGCCCAGACUGGUCUCAAACUUCUGGGCUCAAGCGCUUCUCCCACCUCAGCCUCCCAAAGUGCUAGGAUUAUAGGCGUAAGCUAUUGCACCUGGCCAUAUUCAUUCUUUAAAAACACCCAAUAUUCAAUUUAUGACCUACUGUGACAUGAAGAUUAUUUCUUUAUUUUCUGCCUUUGCAUUUUCUAAGUUUUUCUUCUUUUUAAUUGAAAUAAAAAAUGUUAUAGAAUAUAUUUAGGAUCCAAAUGAGAUAUAAGUCUACGGGUAUGUCUCUUUAUCUCAUUUGGAUCUUAAAUGUAUUCUAUAACACUUCAUUUAUUUUUUUCCCGGAAAUAUCUAUAUACUCUAGGUCUGUGUGUUCAACAAAUUUGUAAGAAGAAUAUUAUGUUCCAAAGUUGUUUUUAAAGAACCAAUUCAGUUCCAUUUCUGAAUACCAUAUUUCCCUGUCAUUACAAAAAUCCUUUUGAAAGCAUUCUUUCUACUAAAUGAUUUGGUAUGGUGUCUAUUUUGAGCAUAUGAGCAAGCACAAUUAUUUCUAAAUCAGAGCAAAGCUACAGCUGAAAAUUCCUUUAAAUUCUGUAAGCCUUUAGUAGAGUUCAUAUGGAUGUCCUCAUCACAGAACAAAGACAAGGCACUUCAAUUCAAGAAGCUUAUGGAGUGGCACAUACAUAGUAUAGGUAAAUAUAAGACAGAUGGUAUCGAGAGCCAGAAUGUGUGAUACAGGCAAGCAGUGCUUAUAGGGUUUCAAAAAAAGAAAAAAUGGAGAUAUCAAUGUGGGCUGAAGUCAUUGAGGGGAGGUUCCAUUGGGGAGCCUUGAGCAGGGAGAGUAAUCAGGAGAGGACACUGAGAACAAGAGACAGUACUGUGGCGGGGUGAAUGGGGCAGGGUAGGGGAGUUGGGGAGAGUUGGUAUUCUGGGAGAUCAGGAAGACACAGACUUGCAUACAUUGAGUUGGAGCAAAGAGAGCUAGAAUCGAACCAAUUAGGCAGGGAUACUGUGAAGUAUGGCAUUGGGGGUAAUUUUGAUUAUAAGGGUGUCUUACUACAGAUGCUCCUGGGGACACACAAGCCUCAUCUUUUGGUAUGUUGGCCUUAGAAAAAAUGUUGCACGCUGUGCACCAGCAAAGUUUAGCCAGGACAAAGAAUUCUGUAUUUUGUGGAAAUACAGAGUGGUUUGAAGUAGAGACAACUGAGUGUCUCAAAGAUAGCACAGGGCAGGCAAGCUCCAGGCAAAAAAGACUUGUAGUUUUUCUGUGAAUUUUCACAGGGUCAGCCCAGGUUGCUUCAGGGUUAUUUGUAUCAUUCAUCCCCCCUUGCCUCACCUGCCUCCCAACCCCAUUUUCCCCCUUUCCUCUGUUGCAUUCUGGUCAUGCGAGAAGAUUUAGAAAAGACUAGAACUGUAUUUGGAGAGCCACUCACACCAGAUUUGUGACUAGUCAUGCACAAUUCAUUAGAUUUUAUGUUUAUACCAUAAUGGUGAAGCUGCAGAUGCUGAUAUGAAAGCAAUAUAAAUAUAUUUUAAAGUGCUUUCAGAUAGUGCAAACUUUGAGUUGCUAAGACCAUACAGAGUAAAAAUAAACAUCAUGGGAGUGAGGAUUCUCUGUAUUUUCUUCCCUGUAGGCUGAAACAGAUCAAUUUACUAAAAAGCAGUUUAUCAAAAGAUUUGUUUGCUGGAAAACCAAUUUGCAGAGCACCAGUUUGCCAAAUAGUGAUUUAUGGACUAGCAAUUAGCUGAUUGAGUAAUUUAUUAAAGGACCUAUUUGCUGAAUUAUCAAUAGAGUAAAAACUUUUUCUAUAAACUAUUACAGCAGAAUGGCAUAUUAACUUAUUCUAUCAAUAAAAGUGCAAAGAAAAUGUGGUUGACAAUUAAUCUAAUUUUUCUUAUAUGCAUCCCCUCCCUGACUCCUACUCUCUUGGGUAGUGUGGGCCAGGAGAACUGCAAGUAAGGAUUUAUCAUUCUAUUCUGAUUUCAAUGGUUUCCUUUUAGUCUCUGACUUUCCAGUAAGUGUUUCAUCGUUCACAGUUCUUCGCCCAAUGCCUUGUCCCUGGCAAAGGUGGCUCUUGGGGUCCUGGUCUUAUGUUCUUGAGGCAAUGGCGGGAAGGAGAGGGGACUGUGAUCUGUGAGUGGAUCUUUGUGCUCCCUGGCUUCUGCCAAAAUAAUGGCCCCCUUCCAUCUUGUCACUGCUCCUCCUGCUGGCUCCCAUUGCUGAAGUUUACUGACGAAGCAGGCAACCUUGUGGUCUAGUUUCUCUUUGUCUUGUCUUCUCUGAGGUAUUGUCCAUUGAUUCAGACCCACCUCAGCGGUCAGGGAUAUGGCGUUUCCCCCUGACAUCUGGCUGUGAACUCCCAUUUGGUUCUCACUCUGGGUAGUUGCCCUGUAGACAUGGCUCGCACUGUAGGAUGAGCCCAAGAAACCUAUCAGUCAGCAGCAUUAACCCCUUUGUGUCCUACCACAUGCCACACGGAGCGACAGCAACUUUCCAUAUCCCCGGGAGCUCGGGAAGACUUAGCAAUGCCCCAAUGCCAUGUGACCUUAUAACCCUUCCAGGUUUACUCUGAAGUGGCUGGAGCUGCUGAGAGGGCCAUUCAUAUGAUUGUGCCCCCCUGGAAUUGUGUGAUGCAGGGGGGUAGCUCUGUAAAGUCUGCAGCUUUCUCUUCAGACUGUCUAGCUUGCUCUUCUUUGAUAGCCUAGAAGUCAGAAGUCAGACAACAAAUACUGGAAGUCUUGCUUUCUGUAUUUCUGUCCUCUUCUCUUCUCCAUAAUCUCCUAGUGUCUGAAAGAGGCCAAAUUGUCACUUCCCCCUGGCUUGUUAGAACUUCUCCUCCAUUCUAUCCUUUCCUGAAGGGUAUUCUCACUCCUCUCCAUCCUUCUCUGGGGGCUAUAAUGACAGAAUGGCUCUCAGCCUGAGAACUUAAUUUACUGGAGAGAAGAAAGGAAAAAAAACCCCACCCUAUCAGCUUGAUAUUUUCAAAACUUCAUUUUCAUGACAUUUUCUCCCUAGUCCCCUCCCUCCACACAGUUGGAUACGUGGGGCUCACUGCCUGUGGAGGGAGCAGACUUUACAGCAAGACUUGAGGUUACACAGAGGGAAGUGCCCCGGUGGGGCCACGUCAGGAGAGAGGAACACGAGGAAGCCGCAAAAAAUCAUCAGCCAUUGACUCCAGUUGCUGAUGUGGCAGUGUGACAUGAGGCAAGGAACGCGUUGUCCUGGUUCUCUUGGAUCUUGAGCCUGACAAAAAGCCAAGAUACAGUCAUUAUAUGAGGCAAAAAAUAUCACAGGAUGCUCUAGGGAAGAAAAACGGAUCAAGAGCCUUCUCUCCUGGCUCCCUGGCCUCCUGACUUUCUCACUUCUGCUUCCUCUCUCAUUAUUCUCUCCAAUGAAAUGAGGGCAGCCCCGCCAGGACCCAGAACAAAUACUGCAGGAGAAAUGCCUUCUCCGUCUUCUCCCUAGAUCUUCGGUCUUCAAAUCAGGAAGAUGAACAAGUCUAAGUAAGUUUCUGGAUAAGUGAUCUAUAAGAUACAUUCCCUCAAGAUCUGGAAGAUAGAAGAGAGCACCAGCAGUUUUGUGAUCUCCACACACCUUCUCCUAAUUACUGAAUCAAACACUAAUUUAGCUGCUGCUGUGAAGAGAUUUUGCGAGUAUAAUUAAGGUUCCUAAUCAGUCAAGAAGAUUAUCCUGAGUGGGCCUCAUUUAAUCAGUUGAAAGUACUUAAAAUAUAAUGUUGACCUCUCCUGGAAAAAGAGUUAAACCUGUGGACAAUAGCUUCAGCCAGUGUCUGUGAGGCUUCAGCCUUCUUGUGAUCUUCUCUGCCCUGUGGACUCCGGAUUUGCCUAUCCAGCCUCCGAAACUGUGUAAGCCAAUUCCUUGUUAUACGUAUGUGUAUAUUCACACAUAUAUGCAUAGAUAGAUAGAUAUCUCCUACUGGUUCUGCUUGUCUGUUUGGACUCUGACACAGAUUUUUGUAUCAAAAGUGGAUGCAGAGGCCUGUGCCUUAAGGAUGAGGUGCCUUAAAGAUCUUAAGGAUGAGUUCUCUGAAUUGGUUCUGAUUUUCUGGAAUUGUUUUUCUAAUCUGAUAAAACUUAAGGCACUAAUAAGCCUGUUUCUAGUUGUUUAAAAGACAUUGGUAGUCCAUGGCAUGAUGUGGUGAAAGAGUUGCUCAAAUUAUCACCUUUGGAUACUAUAAUUAAAUACCUAUAGAAGGUGAGAUUCAAGAUGUCUAAGCAUGAAUCACUUGAGAACAUUUUAGUCAAAACAAGGAGUGGAAUGGAGUUGUUUGGUUAUUCCUAACUGCUCUAGAGAAAGUGACCAUAGAAAAAUGAACUUAGGGCUCUAAAUUUCUAGCUAAAUGUUCUGAAAACUUCUGCAUUUUCCCUCAGAGAAACUCUAUCCUGUAGCUGUAAGGCUGGGGUUUCUGAAAAUGAAAGCCACAGUUUCCUCCUGUGAAUGGCAAACUGAAUUCCCAACCACUUCUGUUAAAGUUUAGCCAGUGAUUGGGAAGGAAUGGGCUUCUACAAAUGGGAGUGGGGAAAUAUGGGUAGAUUCUGAUAAAGCUGGGGAUCUUGGCUUCCCAUAUGAAAUUGAAUCUUUGCCCAUAGAACCAGUCUUUUCAGUUCUGCCUGAGGAAGUGUAAUGUGUCAACUUGACUAGGCCACAUGGUGCCCAGAUAUUUGGUUUAAUAUUUUUCUGUUAUAUGAGGGCAUUUUUGGAUAAUUAACAUUUAAAUCAGUAGACUGAGGAAAGCAGAUUGCCUUCCAUAAUGUGGGUGGGCUACAAUCCUCGGUUGAAGGCCUAAACAGAACAAAAGGCUGAUGCUCCCAUGAGAAGGAUAAUUUUCCUGCUUGACAGCCUUUGAACUGGGAAAUCAACUGUUCCUGGUUCUACAACAGCCUGCCAGCCUCAGACUUUAACUGGGACAUUGGCUCUUUUUUCUGGUUCUACAGCAGCUUCUGACCUUUGCACUAGAAAUGGGACAUCAGCUCUGCAGAUUUUGGACUUGCCAGCUUCCAGAAUUAUGUUACCC
rnacentral:lncRNA from 10 species